rnacentral:rRNA from 1 species
AACGCGAAGAACCUUACCGAGGCUUGACAUCUGGCGAAUCCUGCCGAAAGGUGGGAGUGCCUUCGGGAACGCCAUGACAGGUGCUGCAUGGCCGUCGUCAGCUCGUGUCGUGAGAUGUUGGGUUAAGUCCCGCAACGAGCGCAACCCUCGUCGCGUGUUAUUCUGUCACGCGAGACUGCCCGAGCAAUCGGGAGGAAGGUGGGGAUGAUGUCUGGUCAGCAUGGCCCUUACGCCUCGGGCCACACACGUGCUACAAUGGCCGGUACAAUGAGUUGCGAAGUCGCAAGAUGGAGCUAAUCUCAUCAAAAACCGGUCUCAGUUCGGAUUGAGGGCUGAAACUCGCCCUCAUGAAGUCGGAAUUGCUAGUAAAGGCGGAUCAGCUUGCCGCCUUGAAUACGUUCCCGGGCCUUGUACACACCGCGUGUCU